rnacentral:rRNA from 1 species
GACAGAGGGUGCAAACGUUGUUCGGAAUUACUGGGCGUAAAGCGCGUGUAGGCGGCCCUGCAAGUCGGGUGUGAAAUCCCAUGGCUCAACUAUGGAAGUGCACUCGAAACUGCAGGGCUAGAGUCCUGGAGAGGAAGGUGGAAUGCUUGGUGUAGAGGUGAAAUUCGUAGAUAUCAAGCGGAACACCGGUGGCGAAAGCGGCUACCUGGACCGGUACUGACGCUGAGGCGCGAAAGCUAGGGUAGCAAACAGG